GACGAACGCUGGCGGCGUGCUUAACACAUGCAAGUCGAACGGAAAGGCCCUGCUUUUGUGGGGUGCUCGAGUGGCGAACGGGUGAGUAACACGUGAGUAACCUGCCCUUGACUUUGGGAUAACUUCAGGAAACUGGGGCUAAUACCGGAUAGGAGCUCCUGCUGCAUGGUGGGGGUCGGAAAGUUUCGGCGGUUGGGGAUGGACUCGCGGCUUACCAGCUUGUUGGUGGGGUAGUGGCUUACCAAGGCUUUGACGGGUAGCCGGCCUGAGAGGGUGACCGGCCACAUUGGGACUGAGAUACGGCCCAGACUCCUACGGGAGGCAGCAGUGGGGAAUAUUGCACAAUGGGCGGAAGCCUGAUGCAGCAACGCCGCGUGCGGGAUGACGGCCUUCGGGUUGUAAACCGCUUUCGCCUGUGACGAAGCGUGAGUGACGGUAAUGGGUAAAGAAGCACCGGCUAACUACGUG
rnacentral:rRNA from 1 species